rnacentral:rRNA from 1 species
UACGUAGGGUGCGAGCGUUGUCCGGAAUUAUUGGGCGUAAAGAGCUCGUAGGCGGUUUGUCGCGUCGACUGUGAAAACCUACAGCUUAACUGUGGACUUGCAGUCGAUACGGGCAGACUUGAGUUCGGUAAGGGAGACUGGAAUUCCUGGUGUAGCGGUGAAAUGCGCAGAUAUCAGGAGGAACACCGGUGGCGAAGGCGGGUCUCUGGGCCGAUACUGACGCUGAGGAGCGAAAGCGUGGGGAGCGAACAGG